UUGGUAGCUAAACGAAACGCAGCACGGUU
rnacentral:sRNA from 1 species